rnacentral:lncRNA from 1 species
UGAAGAAAAUUGCAUGUGGAUAUAUAAAGAUAAGGGUUUGAAGCGGCUAUUAGGGUUUUCAAGAUAUCUCAAGUUUCGCAACGAAUUUAUAAUUGAAAAUUAUUGUAGAUAUUAAUAAAAAUACAUCAGUACUUCAUGUAAAAUUUGAGUUUGUUUGGACAGUCAGAUUAGGAGAUAUGAGGUGUUAAAGUUUGGAAAAAUUUUUACAUAAGGAUAUAUAAGGUUUUAGAGGAUUUUAUCAUAUUUUGGCUAUUGUUGGUAACUUCAGGCUUGUGUAUUUGGUGUAAUUGCUCAAAAGUAAAAAAAAAUAUAUAUAAAAUAAGUGCUUUUUU